rnacentral:tRNA from 1 species
GCCGAGGUGGCGGAGUUUGGUUAACGCGCAGGCCUGCUAAGUCUGUGGCCCUUGCGGCCUCUUGGGUUCAAAUCCCAACCUCGGCG